GACGAACGCUGGCGGCGUGCCUAAUACAUGCAAGUAGAACGCUGAAGAGAGGAGCUUGCUCUUCUUGGAUGAGUUGCGAACGGGUGAGUAACGCGUAGGUAACCCGCCUUGUAGCGGGGGAUAACUAUUGGAAACGAUAGCUAAUACCGCAUAACAAUGGAUGACACAUGUCAUUUAUUUGAAAGGGGCAAUUGCUCCACUACAAGAUGGACCUGCGUUGUAUUAGCUAGUAGGUGAGGUAACGGCUCACCUAGGCGACGAUACAUAGCCGACCUGAGAGGGUGAUCGGCCACACUGGGACUGAGACACGGCCCAGACUCCUACGGGAGGCAGCAGUAGGGAAUCUUCGGCAAUGGGGGCAACCCUGACCGAGCAACGCCGCGUGAGUGAAGAAGGUUUUCGGAUCGUAAAGCUCUGUUGUAAGUCAAGAACGAGUGUGAGAGUGGAAAGUUCACACUGUGACGGUAGCUUACCAGAAAGGGACGGCUAACUACGUGCCAGCAGCCGCGGUAAUACGUAGGUCCCGAGCGUUGUCCGGAUUUAUUGGGCGUAAAGCGAGCGCAGGCGGUUUGAUAAGUCUGAAGUUAAAGGCUGUGGCUCAACCAUAGUUCGCUUUGGAAACUGUCAAACUUGAGUGCAGAAGGGGAGAGUGGAAUUCCAUGUGUAGCGGUGAAAUGCGUAGAUAUAUGGAGGAACACCGGUGGCGAAAGCGGCUCUCUGGUCUGUAACUGACGCUGAGGCUCGAAAGCGUGGGGAGCGAACAGG
rnacentral:rRNA from 1 species